CCUACGGGUGGCAGCAGUGAGGAAUAUUGGUCAAUGGACGAGAGUCUGAACCAGCCAAGUAGCGUGAAGGAUGACUGCCCUAUGGGUUGUAAACUUCUUUUAUAUGGGAAUAAAAUGUUCCACGUGUGGCAUUUUGUAUGUACCAUAUGAAUAAGGAUCGGCUAACUCCGUGCCAGCAGCCGCGGUAAUACGGAGGAUCCGAGCGUUAUCCGGAUUUAUUGGGUGUAAAGGGAGCGUAGGUGGAGUGUUAAGUCAGUUGUGAAAGUUUGCGACUCAACCGUAAAAUUGCAGUUGAAACUGGCAGUCUUGAGUACAGUAGAGGUAGGCGGAAUUCGUGGUGUAGCGGUGAAAUGCUUAGAUAUCACGAAGAACUCCGAUGGCGAAGGCAGCUCACUGGACUGCAACUGACACUGAGGCUCGAAAGUGUGGGUAUCAAACAGGAUUAGAUACCCGUGUAGUC
rnacentral:rRNA from 1 species